UCCCUGGUGGUCCAGUGGCCAAGACUCCACACUCACAAUGCAGGGGGCCCGGGUUCAAUACCUGGUAAGGGAA
rfam:Ovis aries breed Texel chromosome 3, whole genome shotgun sequence.